CGUAACGACACUAGCUUGCUAGUGGGCGACGAGUGGCGGACGGGUGAGUAACGCGUAGGAAUCUACCUAGUAGUGGGGGAUAGCCAAGGGAAACUUUGGGUAAUACCGCAUACGAUCUAAGGAUGAAAGGGGGCCUCUCUUUGAAGCUCUCACUAUUAGAUGAGCCUGCGUAAGAUUAGCUUGUUGGUGGGGUAAUGGCCUACCAAGGCGACGAUCUUUAGCUGGUCUGAGAGGAUGAUCAGUCACACUGGAACUGAGACACGGUCCAGACUCCUACGGGAGGCAGCAGUCGGGAAUAUUGGACAAUGGGGGAAACCCUGAUCCAGCCAUGCCGCGUGUGUGAAGAAGGCUCUAGGGUUGUAAAGCACUUUUAGUAGUGAGGAAGGCUCAGUAGUUAAUACCUGCUGGGAUUGACGUUACUUACAGAAAAAGCACCGGCUAAUUUCGUGCCAGCAGCCGCGGUAAUACGAAAGGUGCAAGCGUUAAUCGGAAUUACUGGGCGUAAAGCGCGCGUAGGCGGCUUAGUAAGUUAGAUGUGAAAGCCCCGGGCUCAACCUGGGAACUGCAUCCAAAA
rnacentral:rRNA from 1 species